CCUACGGGAGGCAGCAGUGAGGAAUAUUGGUCAAUGGCCGUAAGCCUGAACCAGCCAAGUCGCGUGAGGGAUGAAGGCUCUAUGGAUUGUAAACCUCUUUUAUAAGGGAGUAAAGUGCGGGACGUGUCCUACCUUGAAUGUACCCUAUGAAUAAGGAUCGGCUAACUCCGUGCCAGCAGCCGCGGUAAUACGGAGGAUCCGAGCGUUAUCCGGAUUUAUUGGGUUUAAAGGGUGCGUAGGCGGGAUGUGAAGUCAGCGGUGAAAUUUUGGGGCUUAACCAUUGAACUGCCGUUGAAACUGGGGUGCUUGAGAGUGUGUGAGGUAGGCGGAAUGCGUGGUGUAGCGGUGAAAUGCUUAGAUAUCACGCAGAACCCCGAUUGCGAAGGCAGCGUACC
rnacentral:rRNA from 1 species